GUUCCCCACUCGCCGCGUGCGCCUCGCGCAUUUGCUGGCCCGCUUCGGUGUGGUUCCAACACAGCCUCCACUCCACCAACCUAGCUCUCUUUCCCCAAUCCCCUUCUCCCGCACGAACCCUAGCAAUCGACAGCCGCCACACCCUCACUCGUCCCAGCCGCCUCCAGCUUGCUUCCUCCUCCUCAAUCCUCCUGCAUUGGUCACGCCCCUCCUCCCGCAUCUCACCCAUCUCGAUGAAUCUGAGGCGUGCGGGCACGGAGGCGAGGUUCUCCGGCGGCGACUGGAACCUCCAGGCAGAGGGCGACCCGAUGGAUCCGUCCCUGUAGGAGCGAGAAGGAAGGAGAGGAUGUAGAUAUUGAGGAAAGAGGAGACCGGCCACGGAGAUGGGAUGAGAACGUCCAUGCCGAGCCAAUCGAGCCACACCUCCGGUGCGCGACCCCAGGGAGGAUUUUGCGCUGCCGUCUUCUUGAGCCAGCCUGUGCCCUGGAAGAAGGACACCAGCCGAGAAGGAUGACGUGGAGGAAAGGAUGACGUGGAGGAGGGGCUGCCUUUUCCUCGGAGAGGAGGUCGACCGUCCGAGGCAUUGUGUGGGAAUGAAGCAAAAAGCAUGAAGAAAAUAGAGCAGGUCGUGUGUCGUCGUGCACGUAGUCUGACUUCCAUUGGCGUGUGAGUACCUGCACUUGGACCUUUUUGUGAGCAGUACUAAGUAAUCUAAUGAUCUGAUCCUUGCAUCUAAGGGAAAAAAAAUCUAAGUCAUUUCCAUUCUGAAGGUCAGGGUACCAACUAUUUGUGUUUGUGUCUACAAGCUUUUGAUUUUCUGUCCGGUCUAUUUUUUAUCUGCAAUGUUGGACCCUCUUUCCAUUUCUUGUGAAUAAUGUUUUUGUUUGAUUGUACAGUCAGUACUGCAUAUCAACUCUAUACUGCAGAAUUUGUGAACAAUCAGUACUGCACCAGGUUAUCUACAGAGGAAUGCAAGGAUAACUAGAUUAAACAUUUCACAAGAUCCUCCCAAAUACAGGAACAAACUCCUUUCAAGAUAUUAUGAGUGUGCUUGAUUACCGGGGAUUGUCAGAUGAAAAGAAGGACAUCGGCGAGAAGGGGCUCUCUGAGGCGGCUGCACUCGGUCCCCCAUGCAGCCACGCACCACAUCGUCCGGCCACGUUGAUGUCGCUGCUGCCUCAGAGACCUGGAUGAUUCUGUUGUUGGCUUCUGCUAUACUCUCUCUCUCUCUCUCAGUGGUGUAGGCAGAUUAAAAUGGCAGAUUCAUUCUGUAGGGAUUUGGUUAGGAGAUGAUUCAAGAUUUUGAUUAGGAAUGGUCUAGAUGUGGAUAUGAGUCAAUAAUGUUCCUCUACGUCCAGUUUGAAAGAAGAGAGUGGGUUCUCAAAUACAGUGAGAUGUUGGUUGGAGAGUGAGUAAUGCAAUAGUCUGCGUGUAGUAUGAGGUUGGAACUAAUGCUAAAUAUACUAUUGUUGGAACUAAUACUAAAUAUACAAUUUUGGUUUCUGACCAUAAUCUAGGUAUUUCCUGUUAAUAGCGGUAAUUGCCUUUGGCUCCUAGGUGCAUAUACACCCAUUGUCGAAAUACACAUUUCAAAAUGUUAAAAAAUUCGGAACAAAAAUCCCGCGUGUAUAUCCGGACAUUUUAUGUGUAUGCACAAGGUUUCGGUGAAAAACGACGUUUUUUGUGGCUUGUGUAAAAAAGACAAUUU